CUUGGUUAUUCCGGGUGUGUUGUGUAAAGACGAAUUAUCUGAUCUAGAAGUGAAACAUAUUGGUAUUGGAAAAAUUGCCGCUCGUAUUAGUGUACGUGGCAUUGACUCAAAAAGUAUUCGUAGAAUAUGGUGUGAAUGGUUGGCAAAGAAGGAUUCUGAUGAUAUGGAUACCUCUGUGGUUCCAGAUCAUGAUUUUGCGGUUGUUACAUUUCCUUAUAACUAUAAUUUGGGUAGGUCCCCGUUACUUGAUGACAGAUUUUUGCUCCCUUCCAGUCCUUAUUCAGAAUCUGAGGAGACCAGUGUUACUGGAAAGAGGAAGAGGAAGUCAUUUUCAGACCCCGAGGAUUUCAGCGAGUCUCUUAGUAAUCAUUGUGAUUCGUCUGGGGAAGAAUCUCAAUCAACAAAUAACUCAAAUAUGAAACUGAUCUUGGGAACAUGUGAUGAUCAACUAGUGAGUUCAAGAAUUAUAUCCAGCAAAACUAUGAGGAGAGAGUUGAGGAAACAGCAGCGAGUGGCUUCCGAGAGAAUGUGUGAUAUCUGUCAACAGAAAAUGCUUCCUGGUAAGGAUGUGGCAACACUUCUGAGCUGGAAAUCUGGAAAACUUAUGUGCAGCAGUAGAAAUAUGUCUGGGGCAUUUCAUUUGUUUCACGUAUCUUGCCUCAUUCAUUGGAUACUUCAAUGUGAAUUGCAAACCUCUGUGAAACCUGUUGACGAACCAAAAAUGGAACCAAAAGCAAAACGAAGAUCUAAGAAGAAGACUGGAACCAAACACAAUGCAAAAGAGAAGGAAGAUGAGACAAAAUCAGCGAGACGGAUCAACUCAGUGUUCUGUCCGGAAUGCCAGGGCACUGGUAUCUGCAUCGAGGGAGAUGAGCUGGAGAAGCCUCCUGUCUCACUUUCUGAGG
rnacentral:misc_RNA from 1 species